rnacentral:rRNA from 1 species
AUGGCUCGAUACCGAACCCAGAACAUGUGCCUGAUCAUGGUACACACCAUUGGAUGGUUUUUGCCGCCUAUAUGUUUUUUUGUUGGGAGCUCGAAUCUGAAGCCUCUAUCCUGCAAAGAGGAGCAAGUGAUGUGGAUAUUUUACGAGCAAAAGAUUCAAGAAGUGUGCAGAGCAUUCAUAUUCCCCCACAAAAUUCAGUUGAAUAUGGCAUCCUCUCAACGUAAUGGGAUCCGGACACCAUUUCAGGACCUAACGAACACUAGAAAUUCUGCUUCAGGUUCAGGCGCCGACGACGAAGGGAACAAAACCUAUAUCUAUAUCACGUUGCGUGUCAACUGCCACAAGUGCCGACAUUGCCAACAUUACGGCUACCUGGGAAGCCGGCAGCCGGCAGUAGCACCGGAAGCAGGGACGGGAGCAACAAUGUAG